CAGUAGCCGCGGUAAUACGGAGGGGGCUAGCGUUGUUCGGAAUUACUGGGCGUAAAGCGCACGUAGGCGGCUUUGUAAGUUAGAGGUGAAAGCCUGGUGCUCAACGCCAAAACUGCCUUUAAGACUGCAUCGCUUGAACGUCGGAGAGGUGAGUGGAAUUCCGAGUGUAGAGGUGAAAUUCGUAGAUAUUCGGAAGAACACCAGUGGCGAAGGCGGCUCACUGGCUCAUACUGGACGCUGAGGUGCGAAAGCGUGGGGAGCAAACAGGAUUAGAUACCCGCUAGUCCCUGUCUCUUAUACA
rnacentral:rRNA from 1 species